rnacentral:lncRNA from 1 species
AAAAGUUUGGAUAAAUGCUUAUUUUUUCCCUUAAAAUGCCAAUUUUUAUAUUAAGUAGUUGGUAUACUUGUUGCUUUUAUUGGUAUUCAAUGGAUUAUUACCUUUUCCUGCUGUAAAGCUCACAAGUAACCACAAUGUGAUGGCAAUGAGUUGCCCAUAACUGGCGUGUGGUCCUCUUAAUCCUGGUCUCCAAUGAAAGGAAACAGGGUUCCUUAAAGGAUAAGGAAUCAAGUUUCCUUGAGAGAAUGGCUGAUUCUGGGUCUAGGGCAGGAAAUAUACAAGAUGAUCCUGGAAUAUUUUCCAUGCCAGAAAGCUAGGAAGUUAUCAAAGUGUAAUGGCUUGAGUCAAAAGGACAUAGGGGCUCUUACUAGUCAAAAAUAGAUCAACAAGAACAUAAAAAAUAAAAACGAUUAAAAUAAAUUGACUCAGGCUAGGCACAGUGGCUCAUGCCUGUAAUCCCAGCACUUUGGGAGGCCAAGGCAGGCAAAUCACCUGAUGUCAGGAGUUCGAGACCUGCCUGGCCAAUAUGGGGAAACCCCAUCUGCACUAAAAAUACAAAAAUUAGCUGGGCGUGGUGGCAGGAGCCUGUAAUCCCAGCUACUUGGGAGGCUGAGGCAGGAGAAUCACUCAAACCCGGGAGACGGAGGUUGUAGUGAGCCACGAUAAUGCCAUUGCACUCUAGCCUGGGUGACAGAGCGAGACUCUGUCUCCAAAAAACAAACAAACAAAAACAACAAAAACCCUCAUAACCAGACCAAAAAAAAAAAAAAAAAAACAAAGAAACAAACAAAAAGAAACAAACAAAAACAAAUUAACUCUAUGGGAUCUCUGAGCUCACUGCUCACUGUAGAGAAGGAAGGAGGGAAGAAGAAAGACAGAGAGAGAUAGAGACACACAAAUAGAGACAGAAAAAGAGAAACACAAAGAGAGAGAGAGAAAAAUAUAUACAUGCAUAUGCAGUUAUGCAUGUUUUCAGACGAUACCAAAUUUCCCUUCCAUAAGAGUUGCACCAUUUUGUAUUCCUUCCGGCAAUUUAUAAGAAUUCCCGUUGUCAAACAGGCUCACCAUCUGAAUAAAUUAUUGAAUUUUAAUAGCUGAGAAGUGGCAUCUUGGUAUAGUUUUAAUUUGUACUUAUCUUCUUAUGAGCCAUGUUGUGUAACUUUUCACAUGUUUAAGAUCAACUUCCAAUUAUUUUCCUAUGAAAUCUCUAUGCAUAUCUUUUUAAUUUUUUCAAUAUAUUGUUGGUCUAUUUCCCCUAAAUUUGUAAGAACUAUUUGUAUAUUAGAGAUAGUACCCCUUUGUCUAUGAUAUAAGUUGCAAACCUAUUUUCCCACUCUUUCAUUUGUUUUUCAACUAUGGUGGUAGUCUUUUCUUGCCAUGAGAAAAAUUUUGUUUUUGCUUGUCUUUGAUGUAGUUGAAUUGACCAGUCUUUUAAAAUUGUGUCAUUAUUAGAUGAGCGACUUUCUUUCCAGCUCACCUGAGAAUGUGUUUUCCUGUUGAGCUAUGGAAUGGGCGUUGGGUAUUUUGUGUUCCUCUGAGAAAGAGAAGAGGUGUGUCUGGCAGCCAGGAGUUGACCUGGUCCUAUCUGCUGGGUGUUGGCGAUGCUGUGAGCUGCCUGGCACCCACAGAUGGAUGUUGAUGUUCUCUUGUGAGCAUCAGCAAUUUCAUAGAACAUCUCCUUCAGACCAUAUCAUUUUGUGCCAAUACUUAAGACAAAAACAAGACCUCUUCAUAAUCAUGUCUGAGCAUGAGCAAAGCAUGAGCAUUGUUCAGAUCACACAAAUGACCAAUGUCUCUCUAUUCUAGCUAAGAUGAAUAACUACUGUUUCUUCACCAACUACAGCUUUAACGUUCUUUACCAAUUAUAGCCUUAACCCAUUAAGGCUUUAAUACAGGUUUACAUCUUUCUACAUAAGAUUUAUUAAGAUACCCUAUUACGCUAGAAUUACCCCCAAUUCCUGACAACACCCAGUUCAGAUCAAAGCCCCAUUUCCUGAAACCCUUCUCCCAGAUUAUUGCCUAACACUACCCCAAAUCCUCUAAGUCCUUUCUGACAUCCUCUUAGUGAGACACCCCACCGUUCCCUGUAGUUUGUAUUCUCCCUCACUUAACCAGUAAUAACCUCACUUCUUCAACUACAGGUGUGUUCCUGGUGGCCUUUGAUUGGAGCCCAUUAACAUCUCCACUUUUCCUGGUAGCCCAAGGGAAUGGGGAGACAGUAGAGGGAAAGGGCAGCUGAGGGCUCUGAGCAUUGGUUAGAAUGCUUGGGCAACAGAUCGCUCUUCCGGUUUCAGUACCAUGAGGACUCCCCUGGGCAUUGGUUUGCUUUCCUCAUUCCAUGUGUAGCCUUGACUUCUCUUAGAGGAAGUGCACCCUGAUGUCCCUCCACCUUGUUUCUCCUGUUUCUCCCCAGCAUCUGUUUCCACCAGUCACCAGCAAGCGGAGGAUCGUAUAAGGACACCCUUCAGUGUCAGUGUGCUUCAUUAUGCUUUUGGAUGUGUUAGUAAAAAUUCUCCGGAUUUGGAGGUGGGUGUGGAGGGUGGGGCUGGAGGACGGAAGAGGAACUUAGGAGCUAAAUGCUGACCCUCUCUAUUUUGCUCCAGAAUGUUCUUUUCCUUUCUCUCUUUGAGUCACCAGUUUCUUUACUGUAUUAGGCUAUGCCCCUUUCCUUGUUUUAUUGCUAUCAGUCAUUGCUUAUUGGCCUUUAUAAUUUUUUUAGUACCAGGAUGGAAAACUCUACAAUAUUGUUUUUUUCCAAUACCGAAGGCGUCUCCUCUCCUCAUCCCUGCUCUUUCCCUCCAGUUAAAAAAGAUAAAUAAACACUCUCUGUUGACAAAUGUCUUUUCUCUUUUCUGUAGACUCUGUGAGUUCUCCUUUCAGUUUAUGCUUUUGGAAACAAAAGUCCUUGUCUGUCCUUCAGGUGCGAGUCAGAGCCAGAUUCCUGACUAAAUGGAGGGAUGCAAUGAGAAAUUCAUAAUAAGAAAUUAUUUUGUUGUCAUCUAUCAUGUAAGUUUUGUCUUUAGUGGUGGUAACAUGUGCUCAUUCAUCGUAGUUCGUUGCUCGUGCCACGUGGUCAUUGUCUCAUGCUUAUGGGCACCUCUCUUUAGUGACACCCACCUAUUGGGGGGAAUCCCAUUUGUAAAUAAUUUUGUUGAUGUGCUGAAUACAAAUUGAUUUCCUAGAGUCUUGUCUGUUUUGGGCUGCUAUAAGAGAAUACCAUAGACUGAGUAAUUUAUAAGGAACAGAAAUUUGUUUUUUUCACAGUUCUGGAGGCUGGGAAGUCCAAAAUCCAGGGGCCAUUAGGUUCAUUGUCAGGUAAGUGUCUGGUCUCUGUUUCCAAGAUGUCGCCUUGAAGGCUGCUUCUUCCAGAGAGGAGGAGUGCUGUGUCCUCACAAGGCAGGAGACCGAAGGGCAAAAGGAUUCUAACUUCCUCCGUCAUGCCUUUUUCUAAGCAAAUCUAAUCCUAUUCAUGACAGCAGAGCCCUCAUAGCCUAAUCACCUCCAAAAGGCCCCACCUCUUAAUACUAUCAUAUUUGUAAUAUUUGAUUCCUGGAGGGGAUGCAUUCAAACCAUAGCAGAUGCUCAUGAAACUGGAAACAGUGGCUAAUGCCGAGAAAGAAGCUGAGGAUCUGGGAAGUCUUACUUGUGGAUUUUACGUUAUAUGUUCCAUUCCCACAUGUAAAUAAAUGAGUUAAUUGAAAUGGAAGAAAAUAAAGAAAGAUGGAGAAUUGCGACAUGGAACAAUGGACAGCAGUCAUAACAUAAUGGGUGAAAACAAAGCUCAAGUACAUGAGGAUGAUUAUAUCUUUAAUGGUAUCUUGAAGCUCUCAGAGAUCAUCAAGUCUUGACUUCUAUGUUAAAAAAGAAAGAAAACUGAUGACCCAUAUUUCAACUGAGGCAUGUGACAUUUCUGCUCUACUCAGCACUCCUCACUUAUCUAACAAAAAUUCAUUACGGCUUCUUAUGUUCCAGGCACCGGGCUAGGUGUUUAAGGAAAACAGAGGGAGGAAAUAAAAAUGUUUAUAAAACGGCUUUUGUCCUCAACAGCUCACAGGGCAGACAGACCCUGACAGAAUAGAGACCUCAUGAAGAGUGGAGAUGGGAAGGGCAUUCUCUCCACACGCAUCCCUGUCCCACCUCGGAGAUUUCCUCCUCAGAACGCUCCCUCUUACUGCUUUCCUGUCUCACUCUUUCAAGCUCUCGGUUUAGAAGGUGUUUCCUUAGAGCACCCUUGCUGACCUCUCAAGUCUGGUGAAAGGCCCUUCUCACUGGUGCCUGGAUGCCCUGUGUACUCCUGUCAUGCACACAACAUAGCAUAGUAAAAUGCCUGGCGUGUGUGUUUGUCUUUUCAAUACUCUGAGCUCUGCUCAUUGGCAAAUCUCAGGACAUAGCACAAGCUGUGGCCCCUAAAUGUUAACUGAAUGAACGAACGGAAUCACUGGUGUCUCUUUAGCUUGAAGAAUAGAAAGCCCUUGUAGGACAAAGAAGAUUGGGAGAAAUGUGAAGUCUGGUGUGGACUCUGUCAGAAGGCAGAACUGAACCAAUGGAUGGACUUAGAGAGACUUCGGUUUCACAUCAGGAAUGAUAUCAUAGUCAGAACUCACGACACACAUAAUAGGUUAGAUGAGGGAGGAGGGAGUCCUUCAUUGCAGGAGUUUUUAAGGUGAAUACAAGAAAUGGGAGGCAUUCGGCCUGGCGCAGUGGCUCACGCCUGUUAAUCCCAGCACUUUGGGAGGCCAAGGCGGGUGGAUCACAAGGUCAGGAGUCGAGACCAGCCUGGUCAAGAUGGUGAAACCCCAUCUCCACUAAAAUACAAAAAUUAGCCGGGUGCGGUGACGGGCACCUGUAAUCCCAGCUACUUGGGAGGCUGAGGCAGAAGAAUCACUUGAACCCGGGAGGCAGAGGUUGCAGCAAGCCAAGUUUGAGCUACUGCACUCUAGCCUGGGUGACAGAGCAAGACUCCAUCUAAAAAAAAAAAAAGAAAUGGGAGGCACUGAGUUUCUGGCUCAGUUUGCUGAUGCCAGAAACACAGAGAUGACUGGUAAGUAAAAUCCACUAGAAAGUGCAUGACAGGUUUCUUUUUCCUUAUAUUUUUCUUUUUUAAAUACAAAAGUAAUACCAGUCCACUGAAAAUUUGAAAAGUAUAUGGCAUUAAAAAGAGAAAAAUAACAUCUGAUAAUCCAACAAGAUAAACUCUCUAAAAUUUCUUUUCUCUUUUUAAAUGAAUAUGUUAAGCUUGAAAUAUAAUUUUAAAUUUAUCUUGAUGUUUUACUCAACAAUGUAGAAGCAUCUUUUAUGUCAUUAUUUUAAGUCACAACCACUUUUAGUGAUGAUGAUUAAAAGAACCAUUUGCUUUUUCCUUACUGUCCCGUUUUUAGAUUUUUGGCUAGUGUCUAAUUUUUCCCUGUUAUAAAUAAUGCUGAGAUGAACAGAACAUGUAGAGUUCUAAUAAUUUGCAAGUGAAUAGCAUAUGAAAAACAUGAGCAAAAAUUUUGCAGUCAUAAUGACUCAACACAAGUUUUAAAUAAAUUACUUUCGUUUUGAGCAUUCAUUCUUAAAUAUGUUAUAGGAAGUAAGUAAGAAGCAUUCCUUACUCCUUAUUUUGUUUAUAAAUUAGUGAUGAAUUGGAAAGGGUAGCUUGCCCCUGGAAUUCUCUGAUAAGCACAGGUGAUGAGGAAAAUGGAGAAAUCCAAGAAUUCCUUUGUCUUUCCUUAAAAGUAGUCAGCUUUAAGUGCAGGGCAGGCGUGCCCUCUAGCGGCCAAAUAAAAAAUAAAGAAAUACAGGAAACCUUCAGCCACGUAACAAUCGCACGUCCCCAUCUAGUGGCUAACCUGUGUAAAUGCAGUUUUUCUAAUCACAAUAGCGAAUGUUACUUGAUUUACAUUUGUCUCAUGAGGUGAAGAACUGGGAGGAAUCUUUGAGAUCACGUAUUUCAACUUCCUCAUUUGCAAAGGAAAUAAAACAAGGUUUAGAAUAGGAAAGUGACUUGCUCAAGUCCACAAAGACGUUACAAACUGAGCUUAGAAUAGAACUCUGGUUUCCUGAUGCCCUGAUUAAUGUUUCCUGCUGGCUCAGCCCUAAUCCAGACGCUGCAACUAUGUCUCUAUUUUCCCCUCAUCACACUCUUUGGACCUAGCGAGUGUGCAUGUGUGUGUUUGUAUGGAACUAGGAGGGUGGGCAUUACAAGUCCUUCCUUGCGGCCAGGCGCUGUGGCCCAAGUCUAUAAUCCCAGCACUUUGGGAGGCCAAGGCGGGCGGAUCACGAGGUCAUGAGAGCGAGAUCAUCCAGGCCAACAUGGUGAAACCCCGUCUCUACUAAAAAUACAAAAAUUAGCUGGGUGUGGUAGCACGCACCCGUAGUCCCAGCUACUCGGGAGGCUGAGGCAGGAGAAUCGCUUGAACCCGGGAGGCGAGGUUGCAGUGAGCUGAGAUCACUGCCACUGCACUCCAGCUUGGGCGACAGAGUGAGACUCCAUCUCAAAAAAAAAAAAAAAAGUCCUUCCUUGCUAACAAUAUGAGCCUCAUAGAAAUAAUUUGCUACCCUCAAAUGUGCACCACGCAAUUUCCCUAGCUACACCCUGUCUCCAACGUGCCCUUGUUCUGGGGCUGCCACACUCAUAACCUGUUGCUGCAGACUUGCACAGUCUUUCCCAUGGAGAAUGAGCCCAGCAUCACCUCAGCAGGGCUGCUGCUACUUUGUUUUUACUGGGACUGCAGAAGUGCUUCUCAGAGUCAGGAUUUCUCAAAAUUAGGUAUGCAUUUAUUUCUCAUACCUCUAGAUACUGAAAAUUUC